AUGCUAUUUUCUUACUGUGUUCUGCUACUCAUGCUAAUUUUCUACAAAAAGUUCCUCUGUAUAUCAACCAUUCAAUGCUUCCUCUGUUUUCAUCUUGCUUUCUCAAUUCAUCAUGCUAACAAACUUCCCCGCCUCAGCUCGUUCUCUCUUUUACUCCCUUCUUCUCUAAUUUCUCUAUGUUUCCAAAAUCAUGAACACUUCCUCUGUAUCCACACUAAAAGUGUCCUCAAUCAUCUCCUAAUCGCUAUCUCUUUGCUCAUACUCUCAACUUUUCCUUUUUUUCAAACACAUUCUGUAACGCAAAUUCAAUCCUUAAGAACCACGUAA